AUGUGCGGCAGUCCCCGGCUGGCCUGCUCCACCGCACAGGAAGCGGGUUAAGAGUGCUGCCCUCACCCCACCCAGGAAUGUCUGGUCCCCAGGCCUCGUGCUGGGCACAGGGGACCACAGCCUGUGCUCAAGUUGCUUCCCCUGUAGUAGAGGAGGAAGACAGAAUAGGCCGUGCCAGGGCAGAGUGCCCGGUGUCACAUGAUCACUGCACCAGUUUCUUCCUGACCAACGACUGGAGCUGUCCCCAGAUGAAUGAAUUUUCCUGGAAGGACGUUACCAAUGCCUUGUCCCUGGCCAACCUGAUCCUGGGGCUCUUCUCCAUCUUCUGCAGCUUCUGCAAGAGAUGCCACAGUGCCUCCUGGAUGCUUCUGAUCAGCUUCCUGUUAGACAUGGCAGUUGGGGCGAUAACCAGACACCUCAGCCUCUGCUCCAAGUCAGGAGUGGAGCUGAAUGACUUUGCGAUCUUCACCACCUUUGGCCUGGCCUCAGGCCUGCUCCUCGGUGUGGACGGGCCUCUGAGUGGGUUCCUGGCUGUCAUCUAUGUGUUAGCUGCUACUUUCCGCCUGUGUUUCUAUUCAACUGAUGCUCAGCUCACGUACAGGGGUCUACCCUGCCGCUAUGCUUCCUGUGUCUUAGCCUCCACCUCCCUUCUGACCAAAGGCAACACGUUCAUUCUCUCUUGCAUGGCUUCACUUAUGGUUCUAUUCAUGAUGGACCAGAGCUACUACCCACACGAUGAAAUCCUGGAGUCUGAGAACUGGAAAAAAUUGGUUUAUCUGGGAGGUGCCAUCAUGCUGCUCAUGUCUCCGUUCUCUCUGACUGCGUUUUACUGCCUGUUGUGGUCACUGUCCUACAUCUUCUUUCCAGAUGCUCUGUGGGGCAAAGCAGUGCGCCUCAGGCUACAGUGCCAAGGAAACUAA